ensembl:lncRNA
CACUGUAUUCCCGAACAGUAUAACCUGCUUAGAAAAAAUAAGUUAACUAUACUUAAAACUGUGAAACAGUUCAUUCAACUUAAAACUUUCAAGUUUGUUCAACGAUUUGGGCAUUUUAACUUCCAGGAACAUAAAUAAAAUAAGUAAAACAUGACGUCAUCUUAUUACCAUAGACUUAUUUUUGCCUCUUGGUAUUGAGCUUUAUUGCCUUCCAAUCUGCCAAUUCAACAAAGAAGAGUCUCUACACUCAAAAACAUUUAAAAGCCUUUUAAAUAGAUAAAUAUCAAUAGUAAAAUUGUAUCAAAUUGAAUUUAAUGAUCCUUAUAUAUUUUAAUUGAAUAAUUGAUUAGGGAUUGUUCAGUUAUUCAAUUAAAAUAUGUAUGGGUUAUUUAAUUCAAUUUGAUGGAAUUUUACUAUUAAUUGAAAAGCAUAAAUCUAAAUUGUAGUGUACUCCGUGCACUUUAUUUGCUAUUUCUAAAACAUAAUAGGUAAAACUCUCCAAAACAGACUAGUCAACAUGGCCAUCAUGAUAUGUCCGUUUAUUUCAUGACUGUAAAAAUAACAACGAAAUAAAACGAAUUACCAAAGCCUCAUUUUUGCCUCUUGGUAGCAGUAAUGAGCUUUAUCGCGUUCCAAUCUGCCAACGCAAAGGAAGAGUCUACUCGGUGCACUUUAUUUGCAUGUUUUUAAAAACAUAACAUACCAGCGCUCGGAUUUGAACUUGGAAGCCCGCCAUGUCAUGCAGGAGUCGUUGCCUCAACGUGGUUCUGUGGAAUCAGAAUCGUUCAUCAUCGUCAUCGUUUCUGUGUUUGCUGCGGUUUGUUUAGCGGCUAUAAUCUGGUUAAAACUUGUGAAACCAGAGCAUACAUGUGAGUAAAAUUACAAUUUGGAAUUUGGGGGCGAAAAUACAUAUGUAAAGACUAAAAGUAUGCAGCAUUUUAAAACCAAUAACAACUGAUUUUAGAGGUUGGCAUAGCUCAGGGUUUGCUUAUGUCU